UGGAAAUUAACUGGACUUGUUGCCCACGGUUUUCUUCUCCUUUUCUCUGGUAUUCUUCUUCCCUUGCGCCUGCUGCUUCUUCCUCUUUCUUCCCUAUUUUCUCCUCCUUCCUCUACUUCUUUCAUGUUAUUGCUUCUUUAUCUCAACUAAUUCUACAUCAAAGUGGUAUCAAAGCUGAACUUGGUUCAAACAUCUUCAACUCAAAAUUUGAGUCACAGAAUUGCCAUGGCAGCGAAGAAGAAUUUCACUGUGCUGCGGUUCAACACCAUCAAUCUCUAGCCCAUAUAAUAACCGACAGAGCUCUGUAUACACCAUAUACACAAACUGUCCUACCAUAACAACCACCAAGCUGCAACCGUUGCUGCAAAUCCGUCCUUGUGCACCAGAUCCGAAAAGGUUAGACACUUUCUGUUCCACCAGUCAUCUACAAAUCAACUCUAAAUCAGCAAAGCCUCCUCACUCGCGAUAGCAACCAGAAAUUGAACAAACUCAUUUGAAAUUACAGCAACCAGAAAUUGAUCCAUCGCCUUUCUGAACUCGGGCCUCUUGCGAUAACCCAGAGCACCCACCCACAACUGUCUCCUCCACUCGUGACCACCAUGGACGCGACCGUCGAUCUCCCUCACAAUGCCGUCGCCCAUCAUACUUGCCGCAAUUUCCAUCAACACAGCCCUCAUUUUCCCUCUCGUAAGUCUCUGCCUCUGAUUUCAUUAGGCUUUGGUGGUAGUUUGGAUAGUGUAUUAAUAUUGGGCCAUGUGUUAAAUGGGUAGUGUAUGAUUUGUGCCUCAACUUAAACCCCUGUUUCGUUCAUUUCGUUUAUGUAAGAGUCAUUUUUUUAAUUUAAAAAAAAAUAGAGAGAGAGAAGAAAGAAAAGUGAAAAAAAAAAAAAAAACGUAUUUUCUAUUAUUUGUAGGUACCUCCUUUUUAUUCGGG
rnacentral:lncRNA from 1 species